UUCGUGUCUGAUUCAAAAGCAAAUCCCUCAUCCAAUCGAAGCGCCCAGCUCCUCACCUGGGUUCCCAGUGGAUUUCACCCUCUCUGCACUAAAACCCAUCCCUCAGAUCCCUAAUCAUAAAUCGGAGAAUAAUGGCGAAGCAAUCUAAAGCCAAGAAAUUGGAGAAUCUGGGCAAAGGCACCGUCACCCCCAUCCAGAUCGCCUUCCUCGUCGACCAGUAUCUCUUCAGUAAUAGCUACACAGAAGCCCGCUUUGUUUUCAGAACUAAAGCCUCCUCACUCUUCUCCAAGUCUCCGAUCCAAGAGGUGUCGAAGAGCUUGCUGAGUUAGUCUGAGAUUCUGAAUGAGUACAUAGCAUUGAGGGAGUAGAAGGUGCUUUGUGAAGCCAACGGUGACCCGGACAAGGCUGACGAGCCGUUCAUGAGCUCCACCGAGCUUCAUCUCUUCCCCUCAGUUUUUGCUCUUCCGACUGUUAUACACAGAUUGCUUUCGCUAUUCAGGCAUAACAAUAAGCUAUGGCGCUGAGGAGAAAAUUGGGUGACAGUUCAAAUCAUAAUUGCAAAAUGAUGUCAAGGUUUUCGAGGUAUUAUAGCUCAAACGAGGUGGACUUAAAGAAGCUGAGGCUUAUGAAGAUCUGAAGAGAAUCUAGGACCAAGAUAAGGAAUAUCUUCAUUCAACUCCUAC